CCUACGGGAGGCAGCAGUAGGGAAUAUUGCUCAAUGGGGGAAACCCUGAAGCAGCAACGCCGCGUGGAUGAUGAAGGUUUUCGGAUUGUAAACUCCUUUUGUUAGAGAAGAUAAUGACGGUAUCUAACGAAUAAGCACCGGCUAACUCCGUGCCAGCAGCCGCGGUAAUACGGAGGGUGCAAGCGUUACUCGGAAUUACUGGGCGUAAAGAGCGCGUAGGCGGGAUAGCAAGUCAGAUGUGAAAUCCUAUGGCUUAACCAUAGAACUGCAUUUGAAACUGUUAUUCUAGAGUAUGGGAGAGGUAGGUGGAAUUCUUGGUGUAGGGGUAAAAUGCGUAGAGAUCAAGAGGAAUACUCAUUGCGAAGGCGACCUGCUAGAACAUAACUGACGCUGAUGCGCGAAAGCGUGGGGAGCAAACAGGAUUAGAUACCCUUGUAGUC
rnacentral:rRNA from 1 species